AGAGGAAUUAUUAGAACAGUUUAAUCAGUUAUUUUACACAACCAAAGGUAGCCAAGGGGAAAAAACAAUUCGAAAAGGUAUUUUAAAAGAUAAUCACUUUAACCAGUUUUAAUGCAAAUGACUUGGGACAAGUCGUUCUCAACAGUGAUAUACUUUAUACUAAUACAAUUCAAAAUGAGAAUUAAAAGAUUUUGAUGGCAUAAAAAUGUGUGGGGCUUUUUAAAGUCUACUUUCAAAUUUUUUAAAACUGGCUAAUUGCAUUCAAAACCUAAAUCAGGGUUUAUGGUGAAUUUUCAUUGCCUAAAUAAAAAUCCUCAGUGUGUACAUGUAUAUAAACUGUAUCAACACAGUAACUUCUGAU
rnacentral:lncRNA from 1 species